GCCCAAUUUGAAUCACUAUCCCAUCCAAAGGGAGAGACACAGCAGCUACUCCUGCUCUCACUGGGCAGCACCGUGGAGAGGACUUGACCCAGAAGGGCCACAGAAAGGAGGAUGGCCCAGACUUGACCCAGAACUUGGAGGACUUGACCCAGAAGGGCCACCGAGAGGAGAAUCCCGUUGCCUCACACAGAUGAGUGAGCAACAGCCUCUCCCUGGCUUUCGUCUAAGCAAGGCAACAAGGAGAAUUUGCCCAGAUAGUGGGUUUCUUGUGGAUCGAAGUUCCCUUGCGGAGGCUCUUGAACAAGAUUUCAAGAAGCGGGGAAGUAAAUCUACCCGCCCGGCCCCGAGUCACCUGGGAAGGCCAGCAGCGGAAGAGAAGCAGUGCGCCGCCGCCGCCUCCUCCUCCCCCUGCUGUUGCCUGAUUAACGCCCGCCUCCGCCAUGCUCGGGAGUCGGGACUGGGAGACCGAAGAGGUAGAUGGUGCUGUUGCUGAGGCUGGCUGUGGGCUUGCAGCUACCGAUUUCAAAAAAGUGGCUUCCCAUGUGAAUGGAUUAUGUUGGAAGGAAAAUAAGUGAAAAAAAUCAAUUUGCUAUGCAGAGAGCUAACCAGGUUUUUCUCUGGAUUAAGG